rnacentral:pre_miRNA from 1 species
UCUGAAGGUGAGAAUCUUGAUGAUGCUGCAUCAGCAAUAAACGACUACCUGAUUUAUCAUUAUGCCAUUGGAACGAUACACAGAUAAUUAGCAUAAUUCAUGUGCAAGAAUGCCACGGGUACAUGGUAUGGUUCAAUUGAUACAGUCGUUGUUUGCGGGUGUAGCAUCAUCAAGAUUCACAUGAAAAGGC